AUUGAACGCUGGCGGCAUGCCUUACACAUGCAAGUCGAACGGUAACAGGUCUUCGGAUGCUGACGAGUGGCGAACGGGUGAGUAAUACAUCGGAACGUGCCUAGUAGUGGGGGAUAACUACUCGAAAGAGUGGCUACUACCGCAUGAGAUCUACGGAUGAAAGCAGGGGAUCGCAAGACCUUGUGCUACUAGAGCGGCCGAUGGCAGAUUAGGUAGUUGGUGGGAUAAAAGCUUACCAAGCCGACGAUCUGUAGCUGGUCUGAGAGGACGAUCAGCCACACUGGGACUGAGACACGGCCCAGACUCCUACGGGAGGCAGCAGUGGGGAACUUUGGACAAUGGGCGCAAGCCUGAUCCAGCAAUGCCGCGUGCAGGAUGAAGGCCUUCGGGUUGUAAACUGCUUUUGUACGGAACGAAAAGCCCUGGGUUAAUACCCUGGGGUCAUGACGGUACCGUAAGAAUAAGCACCGGCUAACUACGUGCCAGCCGCCGCAGUAACAC
rnacentral:rRNA from 1 species